UUUGAAUCCGGGAGGUGGAGGUUGUGGUGAGCCAAGGUUGCGCCAUUGCACUCCAGCCUGGGCAGUAAGAGUGAAACUCCGUCUCAAAAAAAAAAUUCCAGCCAACAGAUGCAUAUGUAAUGUUGGAAUCAGAAACGAGUUUACAAGAAAUAGGGGGAUGAGGAGAAGGUUGAACACACCGAGAGGAAGCCCUGAGCCAGAUCCGGCUGGAGAUGCCACCAGACGGCGACGUUUCUGUGGGAAGACGGGCACGCAGAAAGGCCGAGGGGGCUGUGUGUGACCCUGCAUGAGUAUGAGUUUCUUCGUGCUCACGGAAGAUUGUAGAGAGCAGCUGUCGGUCAUGGAGUCACAGGGCUGCCUUACCAGGACACCACCGGCAGCCCCACAGACAACACAGGUUUAUUCUCUCCAGCUCUGCAGGCUGGAAGUCCGAGGUAGAGGUGCCAACAGGGUCCGUUUCCGGCGAGCGCCUCCUGGUUCAGAGGCAUCCUCAUGUCAGGAGGGGCUUUGGUGUCACCUUUUCCUUGUGAGGGCCCGGAUCCCAUGACCCCUAUCACCCCAUCGAAGCCAAAUCACCUCCCAGAGACCUCCUCAUACCAUCACGUCGGGCCUAGGGCUUCCACAUGGGAAUUUCAGAGUGACCAUUCAGCCCGUAGCAGAAGCUCCUCUGGGUCUGUCCUGGCCCACAGACCCUGUGUAGGAAAAGCACUUGCCCCUGCGGGGCAGGCCCUGGCAGAGCCCGGUGAGGCAGUGAGGGCCCUGCAGGAUAAGUGGAAAUCUCCCCAGGGGGGAUAUGGGGGUGCCUUUCUCUUACAGAGUCCAGGCUGGUAAAAGCGCAUGUGUGUUUCGUGUCUGGUUUGUCCCCUGCCCAGCGGGCGCCGUUGGAAGGGCCUUCAGGUGCUUGAGCACAGGUGGGGACGGAGCAGCUGGUGUCUCGGCAGUAGAUGCGGCGGAUCAUAAGGACUUGGGUUUUGAGCGCCCUGCAGGAAGCCACUGGCCGCGUCCAGGGUCACCUGUGCCUGGUCGUUAGUCCCUCACAAUGCUGUCACUUUGUGACGCUCUUGUGCAGGAUUAAAUGUGAACAGCAGAGACGUGGGUGAUGCGCUGCCUCGUCAGAUGAUGGUCAGUUGUCCAAGCGGGCUGCCUUGCUCUUGGUGGCCUCAUCAUCCAGGGCUCACACACUGGAUGGUUGGGCCACAGUCGCGGUACCCCCCGGGCUGCAGGCUUUCCACCCUGCUUAGCAGGGCUCCAGGGCUCCGGGUAGAGCAGGGGGUCCCUCCCUUGGCACUUCCCCAGGGAGGAGCACGACCGUGCUCAGCUGCGGUCAGGCUGCUGCUCUUAGUUGUCUUUCCUUCUAACACUCAGGCUUCCCUUCCUGCCUCCUGGGUCGCUGAAGAAGGUCAGGUCCACAGAAAAGGCCUGGGGAGAGAAUGGUGGGGACACUUGCCUGGCCUUUGUGUUAGCGCUCAGCACACAUGUGUCCAGUGUAAAGUCCACCAAGAUUAGCAGGGCAUGGUAGCUGCCGCCUGUAAUCCCAGCUUCUCAGGAGUCUGAGGCAGGAGAAUUGCUUGAACCUGGGAGGCGGAGGUUGUAGUGAGCCAAGAUCGUGCCACUGCACUCCAGCCUGGGCGACAGAGUGAGACUCCAUCUCAAAAAAAAAAAAGUCCGUCGAGAGAGCAGGUGGCGGAUGCAGCUGAGAGCUCCAGGAAUGGGAGGGCCACGUGGUAGCCACUGGCAGCCUUGACUGAAAGAUGAAGGAGUCCAUGGUGCUAGGAGGAG
rnacentral:lncRNA from 1 species